CCCAGGCACUCUAAAGCUGAAUAUAUCAUUUGUUUUGUCUAAAUAUGAAUGUGGAUAACGUUGGUGAUAGUAAUACUUGCUGCAGUUACAUUUCUAGUGAGGAAU